rnacentral:lncRNA from 1 species
GAAGGAGAUUUCUCAUGUGCAAGUUCCAGGAGGCCAGGAAACUGGUGAGAGACUCAGCCUGGAGAAGCUCGACCUGAAGAGGCAGAAGGAGCAGGCUCUGCGGGAGGUGGAGCACCUGAAGAGAUGCCAGCAGCAGAUGGCUGAGGACAAGGCCUCUGUGAAAGCCCAGGUGACGUCCUUGCUCGGGGAGCUGCAGGAGAGCCAGAGUCGCUUGGAGGCUGCCACUAAGGAAUGCCAGGCUCUGGAGGGUCGGGCCCGGGCGGCCAGCGAGCAGGCGCGGCAGCUGGAGAGUGAGCGCGAGGCGCUGCAGCAGCAGCACAGCGUGCAGGUGGACCAGCUGCGCAUGCAGGGCCAGAGCGUGGAGGCCGCGCUCCGCAUGGAGCGCCAGGCCGCCUCGGAGGAGAAGUGAGUCAGCGGGGGCGGGGCCGCACUGCAGGGUCUGUGGUUCUACACUUGAUCUUAGCCGAAAGGCUGAGAAGUGUCGGGUCCAUGGUUCUUUCUGCCUUCUGAGGACUCCUUCAGAUUCUGCCUGUGGCUGUGGGCCCAUUCUAUCCCUUAGCCUUGCUAACGGUAGAGGCGACCAUGAUGACACCCGGUUUGUCUUUGAUACAGUCAUGCCAUCUGCUCUCCAGAC